CGCUAAACAAAAUGGCUGCGACCGUGAAGAUCUUUUCUUUUUUUGUAUUUGUACCAUAUAAAUCAGCAUGUUGAAGAGUCAGCCUCCCACCAAAAAUGCCAAGGAGAAGAGCAACAGCGCCACCCUACUGGCCACACAUGGUGACUGGGACAAAGAAGGAUGUGGGAGGAUCUUAGGAGGCUGCAGCUCAGAGAAAGAUUCGGGCUACUCUGACAACGGGUCUGACCAGCAGCACACGGAUGCAGGGUUGCUACGAAGCAUCGUCACAGGCCAGUCCGGCCCCAAGGGUUACAGUGAAGUGCCGAGGCAGUGUCCUGUCCAACUCCCCGGCCAGGGCCCGCCUCAUCAGGCCCCACACCGCACUGAGACCGAUGCUCUGAUGCUACCAGGGAGCGAUCAUGUCAGCCCAGUCUAUAUCAUACAGAACCUGAUGCCCCACCAGGAGAGGUCCACAGUCCACAAGGCGGAUGUGAAACCUAUGAUGUGGACGAACCCCAAAGAUGGGUCUGGCGGCGCCAGCCCCGGCCAGGUGCUGCUAGUACAGCAGACCAGCCUGGCUCCAUCCCGGCCGCCUCUCUCCAAGCACCGCAACAAGUCCCAAACCCGCAUGGUUCUGGGCGCCGGGAGGCGAAAACCCACCUUCCUCCGCAUCGCCCCACAUCCCAGCAAGACAUCCCCGGAGAACAACUCACCGAGCCCGGGCCCGAGACAUCCCAGCAAGCGGGUGUUGUGUCCCGAGCUCAAGAGAGACGAGCCUGCAUCUGCAGCCAGCAGCUCCCGCCCGCCGCGUACCCCUUCCUCCUCAUCUGCCUUGCGGGCGACCAAAGGGACCAUCCCCGCCGGCGCAGCCUGCUACCGCCGCUUCCUCCACACCAUGAAGGCCCUGAGGCAGUCGGGUCUGCUGGACAUCACCCUGCGCACCCAGGAGCUCAUGCGUCGGAGCACGGCCUCUGAGCGCGACAUCGCCCAGCUGAGCCAGCACACCCGCCUGCUGAG
ensembl:lncRNA